UGGGGAAUUUUGGACAAUGGGCGCAAGCCUGAUCCAGCAAUGCCGCGUGCAGGAUGAAGGCCUUCGGGUUGUAAACUGCUUUUGUACGGAACGAAACGGCUCUGGUUAAUACCUGGGGCUAAUGACGGUACCGUAAGAAUAAGCACCGGCUAACUACGUGCCAGCAGCCGCGGUAAUACGUAGGAUGCGAGCGUUAAUCGGAAUUACUGGGCGUAAAGCGUGCGCAGGCGGUGAUGUAAGACAGAUGUGUAAUCCCCGGGCUCAACCUGGGAACUGCAUUUGUGACUGUAUAGCUAGAGUACGGCAGAGGGGGAUGGAAUUCCGCGUGUAGCAGUGAAAUGCGUAGAUAUGCGGAGGAACACCGAUGGCGAAGGCAAUCCCCUGGGCCUGUACUGACGCUCAUGCACGAAAGCGUGGGGAGCAAACA
rnacentral:rRNA from 1 species